rnacentral:rRNA from 1 species
UACGGGGGGGGGUAAGCGUUGUUCGGAAUUACUGGGCGUAAAGGGCUCGUAGGCGGCCAACUAAGUCAGACGUGAAAUCCCUCAGCUUAACUGGGGAACUGCGUCUGAUACUGGAUGGCUUGGAUUCGGGAGAGGAAUGCGGAAUUCCAGGUGUAGCGGUGAAAUGCGUAGAUAUCUGGAGGAACACCGAUGGCGAAGGCAGUGUUCUGGGCCAGUACUGACGCUGAGGAGCGAAAGCGUGGGUAGCAAACAGG